AGAUGCUUGAGGCUGUCACACUGGUCAGUUAUGACGUGCCCAUGGAGACAGAAAGAGCCAGAGAAGUUCGUCACAGCAGAGUGGUGACAAACAGUGCCUGACUGUGCCAUUACAAGCUGUGCUGCACAGGAUGCUCAGAAAGCCACUGGGUUUAAAACGCUGCUGAAUGCUACUGUGACCCUUGCAAAACAGGCCUGAAAUUUGCAGUUGAUCAAAGAUGGCAUUUUAGGAACAAUUAGCAGAGAUGCAACAGCCAUGGAUAUCGUUCUGCUCUUUCAUCCCUCGGUGGACUAUGCAAAUGGUGGCAAAGGAAUAUGUAGUGUUUUUUUCCUGUCCCAAAUCCCCUCCACCACUUCACUUCCCCUUCUCCUGUUUUACCUGAUACUGACACUGCUGUUCCUGGGUAAAACACUACCCUGCAGCAUUUUCUUGAACCAGAGCAGCAAGAGAUAAUGACACUUUAUAAAGUGCUGGCAGAGUGCAACCCUGUGUGUGAUCUCAGGACCUGCAGGGUUUUCAGGGGCUGUUACAAGAUCAGGGCAGGAAAUAGCUUCUGAAGAACUGUUCAGGGAUGAAGGAUGUCUCAAAUAUGAAGGUCUGCAGAAGAGUUAUAAUGUUAUUGCACUGAAUUAUCCCUAAAACGAAUAAAUAUUUAAAUGUGACCAACCAUA